GACGAACGCUGGCGGCGUGCCUAAUACAUGCAGGUCGAACGCUUCUUUCCUCCCGAGUGCUUGCACUCAAUUGGAAAGAGGAGUGGCGGACGGGUGAGUAACACGUGGGUAACCUACCCAUCAGAGGGGGAUAACACUUGGAAACAGGUGCUAAUACCGCAUAACAGUUUAUGCCGCAUGGCAUAAGAGUGAAAGGCGCUUUCGGGUGUCGCUGAUGGAUGGACCCGCGGUGCAUUAGCUAGUUGGUGAGGUAACGGCUCACCAAGGCCACGAUGCAUAGCCGACCUGAGAGGGUGAUCGGCCACACUGGGACUGAGACACGGCCCAGACUCCUACGGGAGGCAGCAGUAGGGAAUCUUCGGCAAUGGACGAAAGUCUGACCGAGCAACGCCGCGUGAGUGAAGAAGGUUUUCGGAUCGUAAAACUCUGUUGUUAGAGAAGAACAAGGACGUUAGUAACUGAACGUCCCCUGACGGUAUCUAACCAGAAAGCCACGGCUAACUACGU
rnacentral:rRNA from 1 species